AUUGAACGCUGGCGGCAGGCCUAACACAUGCAAGUCGAACGGUAACAGGAAACAGCUUGCUGUUUCGCUGACGAGUGGCGGACGGGUGAGUAAUGUCUGGGAAACUGCCUGAUGGAGGGGGAUAACUACUGGAAACGGUAGCUAAUACCGCAUAACGUCGCAAGCCCAAAGAGGGGGACCUUCGGGCCUCUUGCCAUCGGAUGUGCCCAGAUGGGAUUAGCUAGUAGGUGGGGUAACGGCCCACCUAGGCGACGAUCCCUAGCUGGUCUGAGAGGAUGACCAGCCACACUGGAACUGAGACACGGUCCAGACUCCUACGGGAGGCAGCAGUGGGGAAUAUUGCACAAUGGGCGCAAGCCUGAUGCAGCCAUGCCGCGUGUAUGAAGAAGGCCUUCGGGUUGUAAAGUACUUUCAGCGGGGAGGAAGGGAGUAAAGUUAAUACCUUUACUCAUUGACGUUACCCGCAGAAGAAGCACCGGCUAACUCCGUG
rnacentral:rRNA from 1 species